rnacentral:rRNA from 1 species
GAUGAACGCUAGCGGCAGGCCUAAUACAUGCAAGUCGAGGGAGAAUGUUGGAUUCGUCUGACAUGAAACCGGCGCACGGGUGCGUAACACGUAUGCAACCUACCUUUAACUGGGGUAUAGCUCAGAGAAAUCUGAAUUAAUCCCCCAUAAGACUACGACAUGGCAUCAUGAUGUAGUUAAAGCUCCGGCGGUUAAGGAUGGGCAUGCGGUACAUUAGCUAGUUGGUGAGGUAAUGGCUCACCAAGGCUACGAUGUAUAGGGGGUCUGAGAGGAUGAUCCCCCACACUGGUACUGAGACACGGACCAGACUCCUACGGGAGGCAGCAGUAGGGAAUAUUGGUCAAUGGACGCAGGUCUGAACCAGCCAUGCCGCGUGAAGGAUGAAGGCCCUAUGGGUCGUAAACUUCUUUUAUUAGGGAAGAAAAAACGGGAUGCGUCCUGUACUGACGGUACUUAAUGAAUAAGGAUCGGCUAACUUCGUGCCAGCCGCCGCCGUAA